GUAGGUGGCAAGCGUUGUCCGGGAAUUAUUGGGGGCGUAAAGCGCGCGCAGGCGGUUCGUUUAAGUCUGAUGUGAAAGCCCACGGGCUCAACCGUGGAGGGUCAUUGGAAACUGGAGAACUUGAGUACAGAAGAGGAAAGCGGAAUUCCACGUGUAGCGGUGAAAUGCGUAGAGAUGUGGAGGAACACCAGUGGCGAAGGCGGCUUUCUGGUCUGUAACUGACGCUGAGGCGCGAAAGCGUGGGGAGCGAAACAGGAUUAGAUACCCUGGUAGUCCACGCCGUAAACGAUGAGUGCUAAGUGUUAGGGGGUUUCCGCCCCGUUAGUGCUGCAGCUAACGCAUUAAGCACUCCGCCUGGGGAGUACGGCCGCAAAGGCUGA
rnacentral:rRNA from 1 species